rnacentral:rRNA from 1 species
GCCGAUUGCGGCGUGCUUACACAUGCAAGUCGAACGGAAAGGCCCCUUCGGGGGUGCUCGAGUGGCGAACGGGUGAGUAACACGUGGGUGAUCUGCCCCGAACUUUGGGAUAAGCCUGGGAAACUGGGUCUAAUACCGGAUAUGACCUGCUCCUGCAUGGGGGUGGGUGGAAAGCUUUUGCGGUUUGGGAUGGGCCCGCGGCCUAUCAGCUUGUUGGUGGGGUAAUGGCCUACCAAGGCGACGACGGGUAGCCGACCUGAGAGGGUGAUCGGCCACACUGGGACUGAGACACGGCCCAGACUCCUACGGGAGGCAGCAGUGGGGAAUAUUGCACAAUGGGCGCAAGCCUGAUGCAGCGACGCCGCGUGAGGGAUGACGGCCUUCGGGUUGUAAACCUCUUUCACCAGGGACGAAGCGUGAGUGACGGUACCUGGAGAAGAAGCACCGGCCAACUACGUGCCAGCAGCCGCGGUAAUACGUAGGGUGCGAGCGUUGUCCGGAAUUACUGGGCGUAAAGAGCUCGUAGGCGGUUUGUCGCGUCGUCUGUGAAAUUCUGCAACUCAAUUGCAGGCGUGCAGGCGAUACGGGCAGACUUGAGUACUACAGGGGAGACUGGAAUUCCUGGUGUAGCGGUGAAAUGCGCAGAUAUCAGGAGGAACACCGGUGGCGAAGGCGGGUCUCUGGGUAGUAACUGACGCUGAGGAGCGAAAGCGUGGGUAGCGAACAGGAUUAGAUACCCUGGUAGUCCACGCCGUAAACGGUGGGUACUAGGUGUGGGGCUCAUUUCACGAGUUCCGUGCCGUAGCUAACGCAUUAAGUACCCCGCCUGGGGAGUACGGGCGCAAGGCUAAAACUCAAAGGAAUUGACGGGGGCCCGCACAAGCGGCGGAGCAUGUGGAUUAAUUCGAUGCAACGCGAAGAACCUUACCUGGUUUGACAUACACCAGACGCACUCAGGAGAUAGUGUUCCCUUGUGGUUGUGUACAGGUGUGCAUGCUGUCGUCAGCUCGUGUCGUGAGAUGUUGGGUUAAGUCCGCACGAGCGCACCCUUGUCUGUAUUGCCAGCACGUUAUGCCGGGGACUGCAGGAGAACUGCCGGGGUCAA